UAGGGAAUCUUCGGCAAUGGACGGAAGUCUGACCGAGCAACGCCGCGUGAGUGAAGAAGGUUUUCGGAUCGUAAAGCUCUGUUGUAAGAGAAGAACGAGUGUGAGAGUGGAAAGUUCACACUGUGACGGUAUCUUACCAGAAAGGGACGGCUAACUACGUGCCAGCAGCCGCGGUAAUACGUAGGUCCCGAGCGUUGUCCGGAUUUAUUGGGCGUAAAGCGAGCGCAGGCGGUUAGAUAAGUCUGAAGUUAAAGGCUGUGGCUUAACCAUAGUACGCUUUGGAAACUGUUUAACUUGAGUGCAGAAGGGGAGAGUGGAAUUCCAUGUGUAGCGGUGAAAUGCGUAGAUAUAUGGAGGAACACCGGUGGCGAAAGCGGCUCUCUGGUCUGUAACUGACGCUGAGGCUCGAAAGCGUGGGGAGCGAACAGGAUUAGAUACCCUGGUAGUCCACGCCGUANCGAUGAGUGCUAGGUGUUAGGUCCUUUCCGGGACUUAGUGCCGCAGCUAACGCAUUAAGCACUCCGCCUGGGGAGUACGACCGCAAGGNU
rnacentral:rRNA from 1 species